GUCAAUGGCCAUACCACCCCGAAUAUGCCUGAUCUCAGAACCUAAGCAGGGUUGGGCAAAGUUGUGGGUGUUCAAGAUACGUGCCAUUUAGG
rnacentral:rRNA from 1 species